ACAAACUUGGUCAUUUAGAGGAAGUAAAAGUCGUAACAAGGUUUCCGUAGGUGAACCUGCGGAAGGAUCAUUACCGUAAGAUACCUAGGGUUUUGAGACUGCAUUCAAAUGGAUGCGUGCUCAACCCUUCCUCUUCAUCCACAUACACCUGUGCACUAUGGGAUGUAAAAUCCCCUUUUUUCCACACAAAAACCGAGUUAUAUGCAUGUAUUUAUUGCUCUACGGAGUAACAUACAACUUUCAACAACGGAUCUCUUGGCUUUCGCAUCGAUGAAGAACGCAGC
rnacentral:misc_RNA from 1 species